rnacentral:tRNA from 1 species
ACUAAUAAUUAAACAAGUUUCGGCCUUGUAAAAGCUUUGGCGUUAGCU